UGGGAUAACUCAGUUGGUAGAACGUGAGAGUCUUAAUUUCAGGGUCGUGGGUUCGAGUCCCACAUUGGGCAAAA